UUGUAUGAUUCAUUUGUUUACGUUUGUAAUCGUACUUUAUUAAAACAAAUUUCAGUCAUGUUUAUAAUUCAGAUCAUAUGAUGCAUAAUUAUAUAUGCAUUUUAAUAUUAUCAAUUACGUUACAUUUACCUGCAGAUGCUGCGUGUUUAUGCAAGAAUGUCUUUGUAUUUCGACUCAAAGGUUCAGAGCCCAGAUCCAGGAUGUAUUAAUAUCAACAUUGAAUGGCAUGAACAGCAUCCUCUACUAGCAGUUUCAUCCUACAGUCAAGAAAGAGGUGGCUUUGUCACCAUUUAUGAUGAAUUGGGAGAUCCUCUGCCAGACGUAGUCUGGCCUCAGCAUGCAGUAGCCCAGGUCACUGCGCUAGCAUGGCACCCGACAAAGAAGCUUCUUGUAACGGGCUGGGAAAAUGGUGACUUACAAGCGUGGGCAGGGGACCCAGAGUUUAUAUCAGUGCAGUCUGUUCAUCAGGCACCAAUCACAAUCCUGCAGUGGAGUACUCUUGGUGGACGCCUUGUUUCGGGAGAUACGGCUGGAUCUCUUGUUGGUUUGAAGGUAGAUUCUCGUGGUCACAUCCUGACAGUCUUCCACCAUGAACUGAAAGAUCCACUAACGCACAUUGCAUUUCGACGGAAUCCAAAGCACAUGUCACAUGGGUUGGACAUAAAUGGACUGGCAAAAGCGGCUGUGGCUGGAGAUGAAAGGGCGCUAGAUCUCUUCAGUGGAUGGCGUCCUCGAACGGCAGGCCAGAGGUUCUCCCUGCACCCAGGGCAAGGAGACAACCUCUGUUUCUACAUGGGUGCCAUAUCAGGUACUUUGUUCUACUGCACGGAAGAAGGAACAUGUACAGAAGUGUUGAAUACGGAGGGCGCCCUACUGAAGAAGCUUCUGUAUCAUGAGCACAAGGAUAAUUUAAUUGUGAUGACAGAGGAUCUUAAUGUUGGUCAGUUCCAGGUGAACCCCAGUGGACAGCUCAUUGAACUCAUGAAGGUUAAGCUGAGUGGACGAUCACAGGAUGCGUCAGUGGUUUGGGCAGGCCCUGGAUUGUUGGCUGUAAUUACCGGAGAUCUGUCUGUUCGCUUCUGGGAUCUGGACACAGGCGAGAGUUAUUUGCUGGAUGCUGAACCCGUCAACCCUUCCAUCUCUGAUUCAUCUGCUGGAGCUUCUAAUUUGCCUACCGAAGUCUUCACGAGUCUGUCCUUCUGUUCACAAAAAGGUAUAUUAUCAGCAGGCACAAAUGUUGGUACCAUUGUCAUGUGGCGAUUUCUUGUCGGAGAUACUGGUGGAGAUGUUCUUCAGGAAGGAAGAAGUGGAUUUUCUACAUCAACAGAUCCAGCCCAAAACUGGCUGCGAGAACUUCCUUGCAACGUACGUGGGGCGGUGAAACACGUUACAUGGAGUCAAUCUCAUCCACUUUUGGCUGUUAAUACCAUCACUUCCGUAUUUGUGUUGCGCGAGCAGGAGCUCUGCGCACAUUAUGGCAAGUUGGUUUCUGCUGUGCAAGUGUCUCCAAGUCAGCUGGUGGUUGAAGUGGAAUCGAAGGAAAACAGAGGGUCUUGCCAUACUCUUGAGCUAAAUACCGACCUACAAGUGAAGGGAGUUGCUGUAACCACUGAUCAUGUUGCCUUAUGGAGCAGCAAGACAUUUGUUGUGUAUCAACUGAUUACUGAAGGACUUGGUGAUGAUACUAGAAUUACCAGCAAAACUGUAGGUUCAUUUUCCUGUGAAGUUGAAUCUGCGCUUAUACACGAGCAGAGUCUUUUAAUCCUCGAAGGAGAACAGACUGCGAUCCAAGUGCGGACAUUUCAGGGUACCAUAAAGCAGAUGCUUACUACUAAUGAUACUGAGGGUCAACCAAUUGGCAUGCAACUUUGUGGGUCAUUUCUUACAGUAGCCACUGCUGCAGGCUGGAUAAAGAUAUGGAACCUUUCACGCAGGGAAGCUAAACAUCACUCAAAUCCAAAAAAUCUUGAAGAUGCUGUAGAUGAUUUUGGAGAGAUUAUUGCUGCGACAUGCAACAGCAGUGGAACCAAAGUCUCUUUAACAAUUGCUAAGUCAAAUUUCUUACCUGAUCCAAAAUUAUUUAUAUGGGACGUCGAGUCUGACAGUCUGCGGUACUUCAACCUGGCAACAGGAAAGCUAGACAUUCAUGAUGAUGGGGAUACAGAAAAUUAUCUGGUAGAUCAAGAGCAGUUGACACCCAGUUCAGCACUUGAACAAAUCUCAACUGGGACAUCACAAGAGGUGUCUGGUCGCUUUGUGUUGUCGCACGUGUGGGAUGAAGAUGAGCCGAGACUUCUCGUGUGUGAAGCAAAGCUUCUGCCAAAGUCAGGAAAGAGUAAAAUGAGCGUGCCUCUACCUGAGCCGAGUCCUGGAACGUCUUCCUCUAGAAGGGCUUCGUCUUCUACCAUGACAAUGCCCGCAGCAUCUAACUCUGAUAAGGAGAGCAAGGAAGCUGAGGUUGUGCUAGUGACUUUUUUUGCAACACCGGACUCUGAGCAUUUGCUACUUCAGGAUGUGACCCCUCUGCAGUCUGGGAAACACUCCCACCUUCUUGCUGUACAUAUUCCAUACUAUCUCUUACUGCGCAAACACUCUCAGCAACAGACUGGCAAGUCAUCAUCUGGAAUGGUGGAGAGAUUCAUAAUGAAAGAUUUUGAAGGAUUACAGAACUGUGAUAAACAAACUCGUGAUGCUGUCCUCGACUUCAGCUACAAUUUAAGUGUUGGCAAUAUGGAUGAAGCUUUCAGAGCUAUCAAGACUAUAAGCAGUGAGGCAGUGUGGGAAAGCUUGGCACGCAUGUGUGUGAAGACUAAACGUUUGGAUGUUGCAUUUGUGUGCCUUGGACAUAUGAAGCAUGCACGGGGUGCGAUGGCUUUACGGGAAGCUAUGAACGAACCGGAGCUGGAUGCUAGGGUAGCCAUGCUUGCUGUACAGCUGGGGCUCACUGAGGAUGCAGAGAGAUUGUAUUCAUCUUGUGGGCGUUGGGACUUAUUGAACAAAAUGUACCAGUCUGGUGGGGAGUGGGACAGGGCCUUGAAAAUUGCCGAAGAAAAGGACCGCAUUCAUCUUCGUACUACUUACUUCAAAUAUGCGUGCCACCUGGAGGCAAAAGGUGAUUUGAUGGGUGCAACGCGUAUGUAUGAAAGAGCAGAUGUCCAUCAUGGCCAAGUUCCACGUAUGUUGCUGGAUGACCAGCAAGCUCUCGAGCAGUAUGUCCUCAAAUCCAAAGACCCGCAGUUGGUAAAGUGGUGGGGUCAGUACAUGGAAAGCACUGGUAACAUGGACCGAGCUGUUCAUUAUUACAAAGAAGCCAAAGAUCACUUUUCACUGGUGCGAGUACUGUGCUUUCAACAGAACCUUUCUCAAGCUUCAGAGAUUGCCAGUGCCACCGGUGAUAGAGCAGCGUGUUAUCACCUGGCUCGCCAAUAUGAAGCAAUGGGAAAGAUUAGUGAAGCUAUACAUUUCUUCUCCAGGGCACAAGCUUAUGGAACUGCUGUCAGGAUCUGCAAGGAACAAGGAAUGGAAGAGCAAGUGUGGAACCUUGCGUUGCUUGCCGGCCCCCGGGAACAGCUUGAGGCAGCGCAGUACUUUGAGUCCUCUGACAAACCUGAACCAGACAAAGCUGUCCUUCUGUACCAUCGUGCUGGCAUGCUGCACAAAGCACUGGACCUAGCAUUCAAGAAUCAACAGUUCAGCGCUCUUCAGUUUAUCGCUGUAGACCUGAAUUCAACGUCUGACCCUGCCCUGAUACAGAAGUGUGCUCGUUUCUUUGUAGAGAAUGGCCAAUAUGACAAAGCAGUCAAUCUGCUUGCUGUUGGGAAGCAGUAUGUGGAGGCAUUGUCUUUGUGCAUUGAACACAAUAUACCGGUAACGGAGGAUCUAGCCGAGAAGCUGACAAUGAACAAAGGAGAAGGAGAUGAAGCAACCCGGGUACGCGUCUUAGAGAAAGUGGCAGAAAGUGCACUGGCUCAGGGCAAUUACCAUCUUGCCACCAAGAAGUUCACACAAGCUGGUAACAAGGUUGCAGCAAUGAAGGCAUUGCUAAAAUCGGGAGACACAGAGAAGAUUAUUUUUUUUGCGAAUGUAUCACGCCAACGUGAAAUCUACAUCAUGGCUGCCAACUACCUUCAGUCUCUUGAUUGGCAGAAUCAACCAGAAGUACUAAAGAACAUCGUUGCUUUCUACACCAAAGGCCGUGCUCCAGAUCUUCUGGCAAAUUUUUAUGUGGCCUGUGCACAGGUGGAGGUGGAUGAAUAUCAGAGCUACGAGAAAGCACUAGGUGCUCUUGCAGAAGCUGGCCGAUGUCUGGCGAAGGUGACGACACCUCGUGACCCAGUGCAACACCAGAGAGUCUUAGACAAUCUCAACACUCGCACAGUCCUAGUCAAAAGAUUUGUUGAUAUACGCAGGGUUUCCGAUCGAGGUGACCGUGAGACAGCUCUUGCUCAGUGUCGCCAAUUGCUGCAGCACUCUGGUGACUUGGAUGCAGCAGGAGUGAGGGUCGGCGAUGUCUAUGCUCUCAUGGUGGACAGCCUGAUGGCGGGCGGAGACUUCCAAGGAGCCCAGCAGUUGGUAGAGGAAUUCCGACGUACGGCUGGUCCGGGGGUCAAUCUAGCUUAUUACUUGUCCUCCUCUACACUGGACAGACUGGCUCGCGAAUUGGGCAUGAAUCUCAAGACUUCGUUUGGAUCAGGAGAUAAGCACAUGGCCUUUCCUCAGUCCUCUGUGCUGGCCACCAUUGUAAUGCCGCUGUCAAUAGGUAGCUGAGUCCACUUCGUAGGUGUCCCUCACCUCAGAAAUGGAGCCCUGGUAAAGCAUGCAGAGGCGAGGAAGCUCUAACAAGCCAUCCUCAGGGGUAUAUAUUCACUACCUUGGGAAGACGGUGGAUUACAUUGUGUGUGAGUGUGUGCGAGUUUGUGUGCGAGUGUGCGCGAUUGUGUGUGAGUGUGUAUGCAUGAGUGUGAGAUCAUCUGAUGGUACUGAAUGUUGUAGUUGAGUGUUUAGCUCUCCUGCUUCAUAUUCGGGAGUCUUGGGUUCAAAUCUUUUCCCAGAGAUCAGCUGUCCUGGCUGAGGUUUUCUUGUGGUUUUCCUCAGUCCCUCCAUCCCAAUGCCUUAAAUUAGGUCAUGACCACCUCCUUCCACAUUUUUUCCAAUUUGUUACUGUCAUUCUUUCAUCUAUACUGAAAGUGCAAGUUAAUAAAUUAUUAAUAAAUAUAAAUAAAUCAUCUGGUGAUAAAGGUAUUAAAAAUACCAGCAUUUAACUGGCAUUGAUAGAAGACCUUGUGUUAAACUAUAAUGUGUUACAUUUGAUGAUUUUAAUUACUUUAUUUAUAGGCAAGGAAUGUUAAUAGUAAGAAACUGUUUUAAACUGAGUGUGCUGUUUUAAUUUUGGUAUGUUUUAAAAUUGAUAAUAUUGUUAUACAUUUAAAUGUGGACUUCGGUUGCAUAUGAUUGCCAUUUUUUUAUGUUAGCUGGAACUGUGAUACAGAAUUUUAAGUCUUAAUAUUUUCUGGAUUAAGGAGGUA